rnacentral:rRNA from 1 species
UACGUAGGUGACCAGCGUUGUCCGGAUUUACUGGGCGUAAAGAGCGCGCAGGCGGUCGUUCAAGUCGAGUGUGAAAGCCCCCGGCUCAACUGGGGAGGGUCACUUGAUACUGAUCGACUCGAAGGCAGGAGAGGGAAGCGGAAUUCCCGGUGUAGUGGUGAAAUGCGUAGAUAUCUGGAGGAACACCGGUGGCGAAGGCGGCAUCCUGGACCAACACUGACGCUGAGGAGCGAAAGCCAGGGGAGCAAACGGG